rnacentral:rRNA from 1 species
GACGAACGCUGGCGGCGUGCUUAACACAUGCAAGUCGAACGGAAAGGCCCUGCUUUUGUGGGGUGCUCGAGUGGCGAACGGGUGAGUAACACGUGAGUAACCUGCCCUUGACUUUGGGAUAACUUCAGGAAACUGGGGCUAAUACCGGAUAGGAGCUCCUGCUGCAUGGUGGGGGUUGGAAAGUUUCGGCGGUUGGGGAUGGACUCGCGGCUUAUCAGCUUGUUGGUGGGGUAGUGGCUUACCAAGGCUUUGACGGGUAGCCGGCCUGAGAGGGUGACCGGCCACAUUGGGACUGAGAUACGGCCCAGACUCCUACGGGAGGCAGCAGUGGGGAAUAUUGCACAAUGGGCGGAAGCCUGAUGCAGCAACGCCGCGUGCGGGAUGACGGCCUUCGGGUUGUAAACCGCUUUCGCCUGUGACGAAGCGUGAGUGACGGUAAUGGGUAAAGAAGCACCGGCUAACUACGUGCCAGCAGCCGCGGUGAUACGUAGGGUGCGAGCGUUGUCCGGAUUUAUUGGGCGUAAAGGGCUCGUAGGUGGUUGAUCGCGUCGGAAGUGUAAUCUUGGGGCUUAACCCUGAGCGUGCCUUCGAUACGGGUUGACUUGAGGAAGGUAGGGGAGAAUGGAAUUCCUGGUGGAGCGGUGGAAUGCGCAGAUAUCAGGAGGAACACCAGUGGCGAAGGCGGUUCUCUGGGCCUUUCCUGACGCUGAGGAGCGAAAGCGUGGGGAGCGAACAGGCUUAGAUACCCUGGUAGUCCACGCUGUAAACGGUGGGUACUAGGUGUGGGGUCCAUUCCACGGGUUCCGUGCCGUAGCUAACGCUUUAAGUACCCCGCCUGGGGAGUACGGCCGCAAGGCUAAAACUCAAAGGAAUUGACGGGGCCCCGCACAAGCGGCGGAGCAUGCGGAUUAAUUCGAUGCAACGCGUAGAACCUUACCUGGGUUUGACAUGGAUCGGGAGCGCUCAGAGAUGGGUGUGCCUCUUUUGGGGUCGGUUCACAGGUGGUGCAUGGCUGUCGUCAGCUCGUGUCGUGAGAUGUUGGGUUAAGUCCCGCAACGAGCGCAACCCUUGUUCACUGUUGCCAGCACGUUAUGGUGGGGACUCAGUGGAGACCGCCGGGGUCAACUCGGAGGAGGGUGGGGAUGACGUCAAGUCAUCAUGCCCCUUAUGUCCAGGGCUUCACGCAUGCUACAAUGGCUGGUACAGAGAGUGGCGAGCCUGUGAGGGUGAGCGAAUCUCGGAAAGCCGGUCUCAGUUCGGAUUGGGGUCUGCAACUCGACCUCAUGAAGUCGGAGUCGCUAGUAAUCGCAGAUCAGCAACGCUGCGGUGAAUACGUUCCCGGG